rnacentral:rRNA from 1 species
GAUGAACGCUAGCUACAGGCUUAACACAUGCAAGUCGAGGGACCGGCGCACGGGUGAGUAACACGUAUACAACCUGCCCUUUACUCGGGGAUAGCCUUUUGAAAGAAAGAUUAAUACCCGAUAUAAAGGAUGGGGCUGCGUUCCAUUAGGUUGUUGGUGAGGUAACGGCCCACCAAGCCUUCGAUGGAUAGGGGUUCUGAGAGGAAGGUCCCCCACAUUGGAACUGAGACACGGUCCAAACUCCUAGGGGACGCAGAAGGUAGGAAUAUUGGUAAAUGGGUGCUAGCCUGACCCAGCCAAGUAGCGUGAAGGAUGAAGGCUUAUGGGUCGUAAUCUUCGUUUAUAUAAGAAUAUGUAUUAUAUGAAUAAGGAUCGGCUAACUCCGGGCCAGCAGCCGCGGUAAUUC